GUGUAUGCAUUGCGGGGGUGGGGGUUGAACAGAGAAUAGGAGGGGUUGGUAGUGAAGCCUAGAACCCUCCUUCCUCUCCCCUCCUGCCAGGGUUGCUGUGCAGGGAUUGUCGGCCACAUUUGGCGCACUGUCCCAGGCCCGGGGCGAAGGUGGCCUGGGGAAAUGGGGCUUAGGAAUUGCUAAGCAAACGGCACCAUUGGUGGUCUACAAGCGUCUGCGGAGAAAUGGAAAUUACAUUCUUGAAUAUUGGCCCAUCACAGAUUAAUCUGAUCUUGAGUUCACACCUAUCUGCAAAACUAUUUUAAAUAAAACCUUUCUUCAAUUUGUUGAUCUGGAAUAUUUCCACAGAAUCAAGAGACUCCGCGAGAGCAGGAACACAGGCAGGGGG